CAUGAGAUUGCCCAGUAUCACUCUGACAGAAGAGUAUGGUGUUUCCUUGAUAUGGUAUCUGGUCAGCAAUGUCAUUGGGACCAAAUGAAAGUUACUGCAGAUACCACACAGAAGCAAUUACUGUUACUGGAAUACCAGUAAUGUUUAUUAAAUUCAGUUGUAAAGUAGUUCUGGGCAUUGCAGCUGGUGAGCAAUGUCAUUGGGCACCAAAAGAAUUAUGAUGGAUUUCUGGCCUUCAGUCCAUGGGAAAAUUCACACCAGAUUGCA